rnacentral:rRNA from 1 species
AGAGUUUGAUCCUGGCUCAGAACGAACGCUGGCGGCAGGCCUAACACAUGCAAGUCGAACGCCCCGCAAGGGGAGUGGCAGACGGGUGAGUAACGCGUGGGAACCUACCUUACGGUCGGGAAUAGCUCAGGGAAACUUGGGGUAAUACCGGAUACGCCCUUACGGGGAAAGAUUUAUCGCCGUUAGAUGGGCCCGCGUAG